UACGUAGGGUGCGAGCGUUGUCCGGAAUUACUGGGCGUAAAGAGCUCGUAGGUGGUUUGUCGCGUUGUUCGUGAAAACUCACAGCUUAACUGUGGGCGUGCGGGCGAUACGGGCAGACUGGAGUACUGCAGGGGAGACUGGAAUUCCUGGUGUAGCGGUGGAAUGCGCAGAUAUCAGGAGGAACACCGGUGGCGAAGGCGGGUCUCUGAGCAGUAACUGACGCUGAGGAGCGAAAGCGUGGGGAGCGAACAGG
rnacentral:rRNA from 1 species